rnacentral:misc_RNA from 1 species
AAGACUAUAGACCUGCGGAGUACCUGCGGAGGGAUCAUUAGUGAAACUGGCCUCACGGCCUAACCCACAAUCCACAAACACCUGUGAACCGUCUGCGCUCGCGCAGCUUUUACAAAACACCUGUGUCAUGAACGUCCAUUGAUUGUAAACAAACAAAACUUUCAACAACGGAUCUCU